GUCGUGGGUGGAGCUUCGGGGAGCAACUUCCCGGCUGUCUGGGCCGAACCUGGGAAGCUCAGCCUGCGGACCUGAUGUGGUAACCUGUGCCUCUCCCCUCUCUGCCUCCUGCUUCAGGCAGCCUGCUUUGUGUGGUCUAGGACACAGACCUCAUCUCUGGCACUGUCGCCUGAGACGCGCCUCGCAGCACCCCUCAGGACGGUCCUCUCGCCUGGUGACCAGGACCUCAGCCCGUACCCACCCAGCUCCCCCUCGGUGGCCACAGGGCAUCGGAGGACGCAGGUGUGGAGCUGUUCAGCUACCAGGAUGCCCCUCGGCUCUGUGGAGGCAGAGGCGGGUGACAAGCAACUCCUUCAUCGUUUCUCUCUGCCACGCUGUCAUUUGAGUGUUUGUGGGAUGCUCGUUCCUCGGCAUGGCUCAAGUCUGCUCGUUUCAGCUCUCUUGGCUGUGAAACAGGGACCUGUGAGGCCCAGGCUCACUGUGCAGAGUGAGGAUCAGUCAAGCAGUGUGUGCGAAGCUUUAGCACCGAGCCCGCAGCAGGAGCUCGGGCCCUGCUCAAGGUAGAACCAUUAGGAGCAGGUGAAGAAGGUGCUGAGAGAGAAGAUCAGUUCUGCUGGGGCGAGGACAAAGCCUAAGGGAGAUGAUGAACUCGUUGGCUGCGGUGUGUUCUAGCUACAGUUGGAGUACAAAGUAGGAGCACAUAACUGUACAGGAGAGGCAGAGUUGCAUUCAGAGUAGAGGGGCAUUGAAUGGGGUUCUGAAGAGUGGAUAAGAGUUGAAAGACAGGGAAGUCCUUUUCUGAGGAGGGAACACCCAAUGUAAAACACAGACCUCAGUGAAGUCUAGCCUGCUCAUCUCUCUUAGUCCGAGGCCCCAGGCGCCCCGCUGAAAGCCCCCUAUGUGGGCAAGUGCUAGGGCUCAGUGCUCUGUCAGCACAUGCAUAGCUCAGCUGGCUGGCGUAACCUUUGAAGCUGGGCUCUUGGCUGGGCCCUGGGCCGGGGGGCCCUCCCCUGCAGACCACCAGAACCGGCCCUGCUGUCCCUCUUGAGCAUGACAUGGGGUGGGG
rnacentral:lncRNA from 1 species